GGUUAAGCGACUAAGCGUACACGGUGGAUGCCCUGGCAGUCAGAGGCGAUGAAGGACGUGCUAAUCUGCGAUAAGCGUCGGUAAGGUGAUAUGAACCGUUAUAACCGGCGAUUUCCGAAUGGGGAAACCCAGUGUGAUUCGUCACACUAUCAUUAACUGAAUCCAUAGGUUAAUGAGGCGAACCGGGGGAACUGAAACAUCUAAGUACCCCGAGGAAAAGAAAUCAACCGAGAUUCCCCCAGUAGCGGCGAGCGAACGGGGAGCAGCCCAGAGCCUGAAUCAGUGUGUGUGUUAGUGGAAGCGUCUGGAAAGGCGUGCGAUACAGGGUGACAGCCCCGUACACAAAAAUGCACAUGCUGUGAGCUCGAUGAGUAGGGCGGGACACGUGGUAUCCUGUCUGAAUAUGGGGGGACCAUCCUCCAAGGCUAAAUACUCCUGACUGACCGAUAGUGAACCAGUACCGUGAGGGAAAGGCGAAAAGAACCCCGGCGAGGGGAGUGAAAAAGAACCUGAAACCGUGUACGUACAAGCAGUGGGAGCACAGAGCAAUCUGUGUGACUGCGUACCUUUUGUAUAAUGGGUCAGCGACUUAUAUUCUGUAGCAAGGUUAACCGAAUAGGGGAGCCGAAGGGAAACCGAGUCUUAACUGGGCGUUAAGUUGCAGGGUAUAGACCCGAAACCCGGUGAUCUAGCCAUGGGCAGGUUGAAGGUUGGGUAACACUAACUGGAGGACCGAACCGACUAAUGUUGAAAAAUUAGCGGAUGACUUGUGGCUGGGGGUGAAAGGCCAAUCAAACCGGGAGAUAGCUGGUUCUCCCCGAAAGCUAUUUAGGUAGCGCCUCGUGAAUUCAUCUCCGGGGGUAGAGCACUGUUUCGGCAAGGGGGUCAUCCCGACUUACCAACCCGAUGCAAACUGCGAAUACCGGAGAAUGUUAUCACGGGAGACACACGGCGGGUGCUAACGUCCGUCGUGAAGAGGGAAACAACCCAGACCGCCAGCUAAGGUCCCAAAGUCAUGGUUAAGUGGGAAACGAUGUGGGAAGGCCCAGACAGCCAGGAUGUUGGCUUAGAAGCAGCCAUCAUUUAAAGAAAGCGUAAUAGCUCACUGGUCGAGUCGGCCUGCGCGGAAGAUGUAACGGGGCUAAACCAUGCACCGAAGCUGCGGCAGCGACGCUUAUGCGUUGUUGGGUAGGGGAGCGUUCUGUAAGCCUGCGAAGGUGUGCUGUGAGGCAUGCUGGAGGUAUCAGAAGUGCGAAUGCUGACAUAAGUAACGAUAAAGCGGGUGAAAAGCCCGCUCGCCGGAAGACCAAGGGUUCCUGUCCAACGUUAAUCGGGGCAGGGUGAGUCGACCCCUAAGGCGAGGCCGAAAGGCGUAGUCGAUGGGAAACAGGUUAAUAUUCCUGUACUUGGUGUUACUGCGAAGGGGGGACGGAGAAGGCUAUGUUGGCCGGGCGACGGUUGUCCCGGUUUAAGCGUGUAGGCUGGUUUUCCAGGCAAAUCCGGAAAACNNNNNNNNNNNNNNNNNNNNNNNNNNNNNNNNNNNNNNNNNNNNNNNNNNNNNNNNNNNNNNNNNNNNNNNNNNNNNNNNNNNNNNNNNNNNNNNNNNUAGCGCAAGCGAAGCUCUUGAUCGAAGCCCCGGUAAACGGCGGCCGUAACUAUAACGGUCCUAAGGUAGCGAAAUUCCUUGUCGGGUAAGUUCCGACCUGCACGAAUGGCGUAAUGAUGGCCAGGCUGUCUCCACCCGAGACUCAGUGAAAUUGAACUCGCUGUGAAGAUGCAGUGUACCCGCGGCAAGACGGAAAGACCCCGUGAACCUUUACUAUAGCUUGACACUGAACAUUGAGCCUUGAUGUGUAGGAUAGGUGGGAGGCUUUGAAGUGUGGACGCCAGUCUGCAUGGAGCCGACCUUGAAAUACCACCCUUUAAUGUUUGAUGUUCUAACGUUGACCCGUAAUCCGGGUUGCGGACAGUGUCUGGUGGGUAGUUUGACUGGGGCGGUCUCCUCCUAAAGAGUAACGGAGGAGCACGAAGGUUGGCUAAUCCUGGUCGGACAUCAGGAGGUUAGUGCAAUGGCAUAAGCCAGCUUGACUGCGAGCGUGACGGCGCGAGCAGGUGCGAAAGCAGGUCAUAGUGAUCCGGUGGUUCUGAAUGGAAGGGCCAUCGCUCAACGGAUAAAAGGUACUCCGGGGAUAACAGGCUGAUACCGCCCAAGAGUUCAUAUCGACGGCGGUGUUUGGCACCUCGAUGUCGGCUCAUCACAUCCUGGGGCUGAAGUAGGUCCCAAGGGUAUGGCUGUUCGCCAUUUAAAGUGGUACGCGAGCUGGGUUUAGAACGUCGUGAGACAGUUCGGUCCCUAUCUGCCGUGGGCGCUGGAGAACUGAGGGGGGCUGCUCCUAGUACGAGAGGACCGGAGUGGACGCAUCACUGGUGUUCGGGUUGUCAUGCCAAUGGCACUGCCCGGUAGCUAAAUGCGGAAGAGAUAAGUGCUGAAAGCAUCUAAGCACGAAACUUGCCCCGAGAUGAGUUCUCCCUGACUCCUUGAGAGUCCUGAAGGAACGUUGAAGACGACGACGUUGAUAGGCCGGGUGUGUAAGCGCAGCGAUGCGUUGAGCUAACCGGUACUAAUGAACCGUGAGGCUUAACCUU
rnacentral:rRNA from 1 species